rnacentral:rRNA from 1 species
GAGUUUGAUCGUGGCUCAGGAUGAACGCCGGCGGUGUGCCUAAUACAUGCAAGUCGUACGCACUGGCCCAACUGAUUGAUGGUGCUUGCACCUGAUUGACGAUGGAUCACCAGUGAGUGGCGGACGGGUGAGUAACACGUAGGUAACCUGCCCCGGAGCGGGGGAUAACAUUUGGAAACAGAUGCUAAUACCGCAUAACAACAAAGGCCACACGGCUUUUGUUUGAAAGAUGGCUUUGGCCAUCACUCUGGGAUGGACCUGCGGUGCAUUAGCUAGUUGGUAAGGUAACGGCUUACCAAGGCGAUAAUGCAUAGCCGAGUUGAGAGACUGAUCGGCCACAAUGGAACUGAGACACGGUCCAUACUCCUACGGGAGGCAGCAGUAGGGAAUCUUCCACAAUGGCGCAAGCCUGAUGGAGCAACACCGCGUGAGUGAAGAAGGGUUUCGGCUCGUAAAGCUCUGUUGUUGGAGAAGAACGUGCGUGAGAGUAACUGUUCACG